AUGGAAUAUAAUGUAUACAUUACGGAAAACUCUAAGAACUGGAAAUCGUGGAGAGAGGAGGGAUGGGGAAUCAUUGCAGCCAUGGUUGCUGUUUGCAGUGGUCUAGGGAGGAAAAAGUGGGCACGCUUGGUAACGGCUGUUGUCUACUUCGCACAUCCUGGCCCUCACGCAGUGUUGUGGAGCAGAGGUUGUUCACAGUAUAAACAUGUGACCAGCAAUGAGUACAUGCCUAUUCCAAUGGAAAAUCCUUAUAAGGAGCCUCCUAAGAAAUGUAUCUUGUGUGGAAAAUGUGUAGAUUAUAAGAAUGUACAGCUUUUGUCCCAGUUUAUUUCUCCAUUUACUGGAUGCAUUUAUGGAAGGCACAUAACAGGUCUUUGUGGGACAAAACAGAGAGAAAUCACAAAAGCAAUUAAGAGAGCUCAAAUACUGGGGUUUAUGCCAGUUACAUACAAGGAUCCUGUGUAUCUCAAAGACCUUAAAGUUUGCAACAUCAGAUAUCAGGAAUAAAUUACAUAAUGUGACCACCAAUAAACUUAUUUUACAGUAAAAAAAAAAA